UUGAAAGGUAUUCAGAACAGAAUUCGUUAUUAAUUGUUUCAUUGUUCGUUUCAUCUCGGUACAGUCGCUCGUACGAUUGUUAAUGCUCUCUGAAUGUCGCGUAUCUCCGAGGACGUUGCUUCUGACAUAAUAUCGCGUAAGCCAGAGAAUCCAUUCUUAUCGUUGUUAAGCUAUCUUGCGUCAAUUACGAUCGGCGAUAAAUUUUCUCUUAUGAAGUUACUUGAAUUUUUAAGCUGUACUGCGCACAUCCUUCUGGAGUAGUCUUGCCGACUCUCACUUAGAAUGAUCACAAGCUUGAAAAUUAUUUUUAGCUUACGUCGUAUCUCCGAGCAUAAUCGUUGGAUUACCAGCUUGGCGUAUCGUUAUUGCCGCUGCAUUUUCUAGUAGCACGUGUCAUUGAAAUCGCACAAACACGUACAUAACACAUACAUGUUGAUGGUUAUUGUACCUGGCACGGUAUUGUGCAAUUCGGAGAAUUUUCAUUGUCUUUGAUCUACGACUAUUUUUGUUUUCUCCUUGGAUAUUAGUCGAACGUACGUAAUCGAUAUUUUAAAAAAAAAUCGCCCAAACCUACUGCUUUUCUCUCUUUUGAGACAUUAAAUGAUUGACAGUUUUGCUCGCAAGUGUCGUCGUUGUAUUUGUCGUUAUUUGAAAAUUCGCAUCUAAGAUAGGAUCAGCGUUGUGCAACGGCAAAACUAUAGAUCUCAGAGUUUUAUUGCCAUUAGUUUUUCUUUUUUUUCUUCUUGCUGCGUUCUUCUGUGAUCGAUAUUGUUUACAAUUUUUACACACGCGCGUGCGUCAACAGGGUUACGUCUUCUUCAAUAAAAUUUGUCAUUAAACUUUAUUUUUUCACGUUUUUUUCACUUUCAGUUUCACAUAAUAACUCUGGUAUUUUUUCGUCACGCGUUAUAGUUGGUCCCACUAAAGAUUUCGCAGCGUUGAUAACGUUUGAAACCGCGAUGGCCAUUCCAAAAAGAAGAUUCGUUGCAGUUCCAUUUAUAUUUGUUCGCGAUGCACAGACUUUUCGGUACUCCUCGAAAGAAAUUCGGAAUAAACGUGAACCCGGAACGAAACCCGACUGUCCGAUGCAAAUUAGUAAAAGUCGUCACGAAUUGUUACGAAAUACGUUCGUCCUCGAUUCACCUGGAUUUCUGUCGAGUUUCCCUCAAAAACGCGGACUGUCGCGUUCGUUACGUUACGUGCACUCCGAUCCUCUGUUGAUCGUACGUGCGUUCUUGAACUUCCGCUUUUGCUCGCACUCGAUGCGUCUUCUUUUUUUCUUCUUUGGCGUCGUAAGAGUUUUGAAAGUGGCACAAGUCAUUUUGCAGUAAUGGCAAUAGUAGUCUCUCCGAGAUGACAAACGCAGGCAAAUCAUGUUGAAAGUUGGCAUCAAUUUUUCUAGGCACGAGUUCAACAUGCAAGUUCUUAAAUUUGUGCCUCGAUUUAAAAACAAAGUGACUGGUACCACAUUCGGAAAAGUACAUGAGCAGCAGAGUAAAAUAUUCCCACGAUAAGUCCAAUGUCAUUGAACAAAUUGAUGAAAUAAUAAUAAUAAUACAACUUGGCGUACA